CCCAGAGUUGAGUCCUGAAGCAGAAGCCUCAGAACCGCAUCAUGCCGUUCAGCAUCCUCUUUAUCUAGAAGAGGAAGAGGAGGAGAUCUACAUCUCAGAGCAGAUGCAGGAAAUUACUGAUGCUCCACCCUUCAUCCAGGUACCCACUGAGGACCUGUGUGUACAACCAGGGCAACAGGCAACAUUCACAGCGAUCGUGACAGGAAGACCUGCUCCAAAGAUACACUGGUUCAAGGAUGGAGAGGAGCUUAUAGUCAAUGAGAAUAUGAAGAUAGUACAACAUGGCGCGCGUUGCUCCAUGACCAUAGUGUGCAGUGAGGGUGAGGACAGCGGCAUUUACACCUGUUAUGCUCACAACGACUCUGGCCAGGCCUCCUGUGAAGCACAGCUUACAGUUGAAGAGGGUGAGGCAUCCGCUUGCUUCUCUUUCUGCACAACUUGCACAAAUACUAUCAAUCACGGUGGUGAAUGGACGGUGAAAUGGUACAAGAUGAUCAUUUGA
rnacentral:lncRNA from 1 species